rnacentral:rRNA from 1 species
GUGGGGAAUAUUGGGCAAUGCCCGCAAGGGUGACCCAGCAACGCCGCGUGGAGGAUGAAUGUCGUAAGAUUGUAAACUCCUGUUAGAGGGGAAGAAUAGUACCGGUUGGACCGGUAUAUGACUGUACCCUCAGAGAAAGCCCCGGCUAACUACGUGCCAGCAGCCGCGGUAAUACGUAGGGGGCAAGCGUUGUCCGGAUUUACUGGGUGUAAAGGGCGCGCAGGCGGGAUAAAAAGUCAGUGGUGAAAUCCUACAGCUUAACUGUAGAACUGCCUUUGAUACUUUUAUUCUUGAGUUCGGGAGAGAGAGACGGAAUUCCAGGUGUAGUGGUGAAAUACGUAGAUAUCUGGAAGAACACCAGUUGCGAAGGCGGUCUCUUGGUCCGACACUGACGCUGAGGCGCGAAAGCGUGGGGAGCAAACA